UGUGGCUCGCUCCGCUUUUCCUGGAAGGAAAUCUCAGUGAAAGUACCAGAGACUAACCACGGGGUUUCUUGUUGGGGGAGGGAUGCGUCUUGGUAACAAGAACAGAACGCGGCUUUUCCGUAUUGGUUCCCUUUGUGCUACUCUGAAGGUGAGAUUUCAUUCACAACUUUAUCGGAGGCUUAUUUUUCCGCGAGCUGCCGUUCCACGGACGCACGAGAAGUUAACUGUGCCUUUGAUGGGAAGUGCGUGAGUAUCGCAGCAGCUGGCAUGCACACACAGCGUGGCAAGACUGGAACCGCUGCACCGGCUUCGAAGGAUUUUGCGCCACUUCUUGAAAGGUCGACCUGUCUCCAUUUCGCAUGAAAGAUCCCUUAGGUGCCGGUGCCGGCAGUCUUUGAUACACGUGUCUCAGGCACAGAGGAGAUGCGCCCCGUGAGAAAUAUGAGUUCCGGUUUUGGAAUGCUUUCACUGUUUGGAUAGGAGGGAAAUGGCCAAGCGUUUUUUGGAGACUGCCUGGAAAGCACUAGUCAGUUUCAAAUGUCUGGAAAUGAAAGGCAAUGGGAUAAAUCAAGGUUGAGACCUGAAACCUGCCCCUCCCCCUCCCAAGUUGCUUUGGCAGAAGCGUGCGAACUACUGAGAAUUGGUAAAUGAAGCAGCUUGAGGAUCUUGUUUGAUGAGGAUUGACUUAAGAGGAAUUUCGAAGUUUUAAAUAAAGGAGACAUUCUACCGAGCUAAUGUUGAGCCGCCGGUUUUGUUUAUUUGUUUCUGGGUUUUUUUUUUUUUUUUUUCUGUUUCUCUAACAGAAAAUCUGUAGUAUCGUCACCUGUGUGCCUUCUUUUAAGAGCAGUUCAUGAAGCUGUUUUUUAUUUGAACCACGAGUGAAUGAUGCAGUUUUAGCUUCUUGGUGGUAACUUCUCUGACAUACAGUUGUGACAGAAGAAACACUCGCUACACAAGUGCCUGUCUGAGGCAAAGAAGGAGGCACCUUUCAUGAAGAAUCCAGCAGUGAUGAAGACCCAACUGUGAGAUAUGAUUGUCCUGCUUGAUAUAGUGCACAACAUGGUGGACAUGUGUAACAGCAAGGCCUUCAACAAGAUGGAAAUCAAGCCAGAGCUAACAACUGCCAGUAGCUCCAUGGCUAGUGGUGAGACUGUAUGCUCAACUCUCCUCCCCAUGCUGGAAUUAGGUCUAGGUUGUGCUUGCCCAGGUCUUAUAGAUACUGCCUCAAUAGUGGCAAGUAUAUAUGGGAAGCUUCCCUACCAUGUCCACAAUGUUUCUCACCAUAUCUGGCUCUUACACUCUUUCAACCCCCUCUUCCAUAUGAUCCCCAAAACUUUGAAUGUGGUGGAGUAUACUGUUAUAUAUGUUCUGUUAUAUAGAAAAGGCUGAACAUUCUGCAGUCUCUUAACUUACCAGUAUGGGUCUCUGUGUUAAUCAUCUACUACAAAUAGAAACUUCUUUUUAUAUUUUUAUUACUAUUCUUUAAGAAUUUUUUACAGCCCAGUAGUUAUUCCCCUUCUGCUUUGCCCUCUGACUGUUCCUCAUCCCAUACCUCUUCCCCUGAGAAUAGAAACUUCUUGUGAUGGGAGUUGAGAGGUACAUUAAUCUAUGCGUGUAAUGCUGACUAGUCAUUAGGAGUCGGAUUAAUACUACAUCUACUUGGAAGAAUAAUAGUAGUAGGUUCUUUCAAGAGCCUGUGUCCUGACUAGCCAUUGCUACAUAAUGGCUUCAGAUAAGGGUUUAUCUUGUGCAGUGGCCUUUAAAACUAAUGAGAAAAUGUUUGUUUGAUCCCCUGAUGUUUGUGCCACUAUUGCACUACUAUGUUUCUUAGAGGCAGCAAAAAGAUGGAUGCUAUUUUUCUGAUCCAUCCUAUUAAUCAUUUUAUUGAGAAGUUAAGACCAUGAUUAUUAAGAAUUAUUGAACAAUGUAUAUUUCUGUCAGGUUGUUUUGUGGUAUUUUUUCAGACCUCUUUUAUUCAUUUAUAUAUUUAUACUGACUGACUGGCUGGCUGACUUACUUACUGUUUAAGACAUGGUCUCUCUAUGUAAUCCUAGCUGUCUGUACUCCUCCAACCCUGGAACUCACUGUGUAGACUUGGUUGGCCUUUACUAUCAGAAAUCUAUAUGUCACCACCUCCAGAGUGCUGUGAUUAAAGAUGUACAACA
ensembl:processed_transcript RIKEN cDNA C630043F03 gene